rnacentral:tRNA from 1 species
WCUAAUAUGGCAGAUUAGUGCAAUGGAUUUAAGUCCCAUAUAUAAAGUUACACCUKUUUUUAGAAA